rnacentral:rRNA from 1 species
AUUGAACGCUGGCGGCAUGCUUUACACAUGCAAGUCGGACGGUAACAGGCCUUCGGGUGCUGACGAGUGGCGAACGGGUGAGUAAUGCAUCGGAACGUGCCCAGAGGUGGGGGAUAACGCAGCGAAAGCUGUGCUAAUACCGCAUGUGAUCUGAGGAUGAAAGCGGGGGACCAAGCAGCAAUGUUUGGCCUCGCGCCUCUGGAGCGGCCGAUGUCAGAUUAGGUAGUUGGUGGGGUAAAGGCCUACCAAGCCGACGAUCUGUAGCUGGUCUGAGAGGACGACCAGCCACACUGGGACUGAGACACGGCCCAGACUCCUACGGGAGGCAGCAGUGGGGAAUUUUGGACAAUGGGCGCAAGCCUGAUCCAGCAAUGCCGCGUGCGGGAAGAAGGCCUUCGGGUUGUAAACCGCUUUUGUACGGAACGAAAAGGCUCUGGCUAAUACCUGGGGCUGAUGACGGUACCGUAAGAAUAAGCACCGGCUAACUACGUG